UGAGGAAUUGAGACAUAUAAAUUAUCUGCAUUCGCAUAUAGUUGUACAAAUGAAAUAGCAUUGCAACAAUGCAGGAGCACAUAGCGGGUGUGACCAGUCGGCAGGAGAUGCUCACUCAUCCAUGGCACCUGAUCCCAUUUCUGAUGUUUUAGAGUUCCAUUUUUGCUCUUGUCCAAACUUUUGUAUUGUUUAAUGGACUUCUGGGAUCUUUAAAUACUCUUUCCUAUCUCCAUGUAUUUCAAGGCUUGCUUUUUAACUGCGUUGUACAACUUCGAGAAUUUAUGCUGCUGGAACAAUUUUGAACAUGUUAUCCACGUAAAAAAAAACAUGCUGAACUUUCUUAUUUUCUAUAAUAUAAAAAUAAAUUACCUCAAAUAAUAUG